rnacentral:lncRNA from 1 species
CGGGGUCCCACAACGUCACCUCAUAGAUGCAGUCGAUGGUUUGUUCCAGAUUCAGGCUUCUUUCCGGGAAGAAACCCUGACAGAAAUUCAGAAGCAUGGGAUGCAUUCCGUUAGGACGUGAAUACAUGAAAUGCUCGUCUCAGGACCUUCUAGAAGAAUGAGCUGGUACCCACUUUUCGAGUCCCGCUGGAACCAGAGACCGAGAUAUUGCCCAGGUGUCUGAAUGACUGCACUGGGGUACCUACCUCCUUUUUUGAUAGACUGUAUUCCCUUUCCAUGUUUUAGCUGUAUCUGUGACACAGGACACGAGAGAACGUGCUCAUGUGAACACAAGUGAAGGACACCGUGGGAACUUCCCACACAGGUAAUUUUGGAUUUUUUCUCUUCACAACUUAAGUUCCAGUGCAUGUUUUCUAUCACAAAUAUGCCACAUCUUAUAUUUCAGAUAUUUGUGCCCAGGGCACAC